rnacentral:rRNA from 1 species
GAAUCAAUUUGUUGGUCGUGCCUCGGUACGUACUGGUAUUAUUGGUUUCUACCUUCUGAAGAACCUUGAUGUCAUUAAUUUGGUGUCUUGGGGAAUCAGGACUGUUACUUUGAAAAAAUUAGAGUGUUUAAAGCAAGCAUACGCUUGAAUACAUUAGCAUGGAAUAAUGAAAUAGGACGUUUGAUUCUAUUUUGUUGGUUUCUAGGAUCGACGUAAUGAUUAAUAGGGAUAGUUGGGC